AAGAGUUUAAAAAUGCAAUGGCAUAAGGCCAAAGUUUCUAAUUUGCAAUAAAGUCUAAGUUUAGAAAUCACGAGCAAAAAAUAUUUUUAAAAAGGGGGGAGAGAUUUAAAAUUUAAGAAGUGGGAGGAGAUGAAGAGACUAAUCCUAAGCAAGAAUUUAAAAGUUAAGAGUUGAAAAGAUCUUACCAAUGGAAUACAAUCCAAUAGACAAGAAUGUCAUAUAGAAACCCAAUUUUCCUUUGGACUUUGAAAUCAAGCAAUAUCA
rnacentral:lncRNA from 1 species